UUUAUUGGAGAGUUUGAUCCUGGCUCAGGAUGAACGCUGGCGGCGUGCCUAAUACAUGCAAGUCGAGCGAAUGGAUUGAGAGCUUGCUCUCAAGAAGUUAGCGGCGGACGGGUGAGUAACACGUGGGUAACCUGCCCAUAAGACUGGGAUAACUCCGGGAAACCGG
rnacentral:rRNA from 1 species